rnacentral:rRNA from 1 species
AACGAACGCUGGCGGCGUGCCUAACACAUGCAAGUCGUGCGAGAAAGUUCCUUCGGGAGCGAGUAAAGCGGCGCACGGGUGAGUAACACGUAGGUAACCUGCCCCCCAGUCUGGAACAACUAGAGGAAACUCUAGCUAAUGCCGGAUGAGACCACGAUCCCUUCGGGGGUUGCGGCCAAAGAUGGCCUCUACUUGUAAGCUAUCGCUGAGGGAUGGGCCUGCGGGCCAUUAGCUUGUUGGUGAGGUAACGGGCUCACCAAGGCUGUGAUGGCUAGCUGGUCUGAGAGGAUGACCAGCCACACUGGGACUGAGACACGGCCCAGACUCCUACGGGAGGCAGCAGUGGGGAAUAUUGCGCAAUGGGCGAAAGCCUGACGCAGCGACGCCGCGUGGGUGAUGAAGGCCUCGGUCGGUAAG